AACUUGAGAGUUUGAUCAUGGCUCAGAACGUACGCUGGCGGCACGCCUAACACAUGCAAGUCGAACGAAGUAGCAAUACUUAGUGGCAGACGGGUGAGUAACAUGUAGGUAUCUGCCCUUUGGCCUGGAAUAACACGAGGAAACUUGUGCUAAUACCGGAUAAGUCUUUACGGAGAAAGCUUUAUGCACCAUUGGAUGAGCCUGCACUUGAUUAGUUUGUUGGUGGGGUAAUGGCCUACCAAGACUGUGAUCAAUAGCUGAUUUGAGAGGAUGAUCAGCCACAUUGGGACUGAGACACGGCCCAAACUCCUACGGGAGGCAGCAGUGGGGAAUCUUGCACAAUGGAGGAAACUCUGAUGCAGCGAUGCCGCGUGAGUGAAGAAGGCCCUUGGGUUGUAAAGCUCUUUCGUCGGGGAAGAAAAUGACUGUACCCGAAUAAGAAGGUCCGGCUAACUUCGUGCCAGCAGCCGCGGUAAUACGAAGGGACCUAGCGUAGUUCGGAAUUACUGGGCUUAAAGAGUUCGUAGGUGGUUGAAAAAGUUAGUGGUGAAAUCCCAGAGCUUAACUCUGGAACUGCCAUUAAAACUUUUCAGCUAGAGUAUGAUAGAGGAAAGCAGAAUUUCUAGUGUAGAGGUGAAAUUCGUAGAUAUUAGAAAGAAUACCAAUUGCGAAGGCAGCUUUCUGGAUCAUUACUGACACUGAGGAACGAAAGCAUGGGUAGCGAAGAGGAUUAGAUACCCUCGUAGUCCAUGCCGUAAACGAUGUGUGUUAGACGUUGGAAAUUUAUUUUCAGUGUCGCAGCGAAAGCGAUAAACACACCGCCUGGGGAGUACGACCGCAAGGUUAAAACUCAAAUGAAUUGACGGGGACCCGCACAAGUAGUGGAGCAUGUGGUUUAAUUCGAAGAUACGCGCAGAACCUUACCAACACUUGACAUGUUCGUCGCGACUCUAAGAGAUUAGAGUUUUCGGUUCGGCCGGACGAAACACAGGUGCUGCAUGGCUGUCGUCAGCUCGUGUCGUGAGAUGUUGGGUUAAGUCCCGCAACGAGCGCAACCCUCACUUUUAGUUGCCAUCAUUAAGUUGGGCACUCUGAAAGAACUGCCAGUGAUAAGCUGGAGGAAGGUGGGGAUGACGUCAAGUCCUCAUGGCCCUUACGUGUUGGGCUACACACGUGCUACAAUGGUAUCUACAACAGGAAGCAAGACUGCGAGGUCAAGCAAAUCCCUAAAAGAUACCUCAGUUCGGAUUGCACUCUGCAACUCGAGUGCAUGAAGCUGGAAUUACUAGUAAUCGUGGAUCAGCGUGCCACGGUGAAUGCGUUCCCGGGUCUUGUACACACCGCCCGUCACACCAUGGGAGUUGGUUCUACCUUAAGGCAAGGUUUCAAACCCUUGACCACGGUAUAGUCAGCGACUGGGGUGAAGUCGUAACAAGGUAGCCGUAGGGGAACCUGCGGCUGGAUUACCUCCUUUCUAA
rnacentral:rRNA from 1 species